CCUACGGGAGGCUGCAGUGGGGAAUCUUGCACAAUGGGGGGAACCCUGAUGCAGCGACGCCGCGUGAGUGAAGAAGUAUUUCGGUAUGUAAAGCUCUAUCAGCAGGGAAGAAAAUGACGGUAACUGACUAAGAAGCCCCGGCUAACUACGUGCCAGCAGCCGCGGUAAUACGUAGGGGGAAAGCGUUCUCCGGUUUUACUGGGUGUAAAGGGAGCGUAGACGGUUAUGCAAGUCUGAAGUGAAAGCCCAUGGCUCAACCAUGGGAGUGCGUUGGAAACUGUAAAACUGGAGUGCAGGAGAGGUAAGCGGAAUUCCGAGUGUAGCGGUGAAAUGCGUAGAUAUUAGGAGGAACACCAGUGGCGAAGGCGGCUUACUGGACUGUAACUGACGUUGAGGCUCGAAGGCGUGGGGAGCAAACAGGAUUAGAUACCCGAGUAGUC
rnacentral:rRNA from 1 species